UACGGAGGGUGCAAGCGUUGUCCGGAUUUAUUGGGUUUAAAGGGUGCGUAGGCGGCUCUGUAAGUCAGCGUUGAAAUAUGGCAGCUUAACUGUCAGACUGGCAUUGAUACUGCAGGGCUUGAGUGAAGUCGAGGUUGGCGGAAUUGACGGUGUAGCGGUGAAAUGCAUAGAUAUCGUCAAGAACACCUAUUGCGAAGGCAGCUAACUAGACUUUAACUGACGCUGAGGCACGAAAGCGUGGGGAUCAAACAGG
rnacentral:rRNA from 1 species